UACGAAGGGGGCUAGCGUUGUUCGGAUUUACUGGGCGUAAAGCGCACGUAGGCGGAUCGAUCAGUCAGGGGUGAAAUCCCAGAGCUCCAACUCUGGAACUGCCUUUGAUACUGUCGAUCUGGAGUAUGGAAGAGGUGAGUGGAAUUCCGAGUGUAGAGGUGAAAUUCGUAGAUAUUCGGAGGAACACCAGUGGCGAAGGCGGCUCAGCUGGUCCAUUACUGACGCUGAGGUGCGAAAGCGUGGGGAGCAAACAGG
rnacentral:rRNA from 1 species